UCAGACGGCCGUGUGCGUCACGGGCAGCGCCACUAGAUGACAGCCUCGUCUAACAAAUCAGAAUCCGCGGUAAGGCAGUCAGGUCCACCAUGCAGCUUACAGUGGAGCACCUAUAGCUGCAUGCAUUCAUGGCUGACUGCUGUAAUGUUCAGAUUAUUCAACCAAAUUUGAUUUUUGCAUGUGCGUGUAAAUGCACACACCACAUGUUCGAGGGGCUGUCUGACAGUGUAGAUUCGCUUACUACAGGAAAGAGUCUCCUCUGCUGGCCACUUGUGUGUAUUGCACCGUGGCCUGCCUUCCGGACGUGAACAGGAUGAACCGUGUUGGUCUGACUGCUUCAGCUGCGUUUUGUCUUUUCUGCUCAGUUAACCAGCGACUUACAUUAAAUGUGCGGCCGAAACUGUGGUGAGAGCAGACAGCAGCACCUAAAGAGUCUGCGACUGACAUGAUGCAAUGGUCCUCUACGUCGUGUGCUAUUUCAGAGAGGCAGCAGACGACACUAAAAGCUGGCCACAAUUUUGAAGCUAACAGGGAUGCAGCUGGCCGCAGUGAAGACAUUCCAGGUUUGCCGAUGGAGACAGAUGGCGCGGGGCCCCUGGCCUCGGCCCCUGCAGAUUGAUUAUUGAUCAGGAGGACAGAGAUGGAUCGAGGGGUGGAGAGGACACCGAGCGGUGGGGAGAAGACCGUGGAGAAGAGUUGGAGGCGGAGAAGUGGGAGGAUUUCAAGGAAUUUAUGUUUUUAGAGUGGGACUAAAAGACAGCAAGAUGAGGAAAGGAGGAAGAGUUGGGGGGUUGAGGAUGUGGGUACGUCAAAGGUUUUUUAGCUCAGCCAUCACCUUGAGAGGGAGCUAUUGACUAAGCUCCAGAUUUAAAGAGGAAAUCUAAAGUGUUUGGAUUCUGUUCAGGAUCCCCCAGUUAUAGCUCAUUCUUUGUCACUGAAGUCCCUUGUUCACUUUAAACUGAUGUUAAUCACUGGUUUGGGUGCACAAGCUGCAUAUCUAAAAAGCAUAUUUUUUAUGAAUGAAGAAAAUUAACUUUAUGUUAAGGGCUGGCGGCAUGCGACUUGAAUCUAAGGGGUCACAGGAUUCAUUUUGCAGAUAAAGAAUCAUCUAAACUUUCAUUUCUGUUGGAUAAAUGAAAACUAUACAGUACUAAAGUCACACUCAAAAUAACAUUUUUACAUUCUACUUAUCACCAGUGAGUGGUGGCUAGUUGUGUGUGUGUGUGUGAGUGUGUGAGUGUGUGUGCAGCUGCCCUUGUGUUUGUGGGAUGAGUGUUUGUGAGCGUGCUGAUGUGUUGCGAAGGUGAGGCUGUCUUCCCUUGCCAGACAGAUGGCUAUCAGCAAGGCUCCAGUGAGUGAGUGCUGCUUUACAGUGGAGCCAAGAGGUUAAGCUGCAAUCUUCACUGUCUCUCUUUUAUUUUUCCCCUCACUCGCUGUUCCUUUCAUCUUCUGUGUGUGCGCGUGUGUGUGCUCAUUUACUCCCUUUGCUCUGCUACAGUAUGUGUGAAUAUCAGUGUGCGUGAUAAAGGAACAGAAGGAGCCUGUUGGCUGGUGUGCGUGAGUGUGCUGGAGGCAGAUACUGGAGGAAAUAAAUGACAUGCAGGCAGCUGCCCAGCUCAGGCUUUACACUGGGUGCCAUCACUGAUGGCAGCUCCUGACUGUGUGUCCUCCCAAAGUUUUUAUUUAACUUAAAGUGACUAUAUUCAUCUUUCGUCAAUUACCAAACAGAACACAAACAACAGAGAAAUGCGUCAUUUUUUUAAAAUAUACAAUCCCCAAUUUUAACUGUGCUCUUCUUCUUAUGUGUUUCCAACACAUCCAUAUGGACUCCAGCCCCCAGGCUGAGUGAGAGCACCGUCCCAGGAGGAAGCAUCUUCGUGAGCUUCAGGGAGUGGGAGGACCGCAUGGAUGCUGGAUGGAGUUCUGGGCGACUCAGUUCGCCCCUGGAGGCUUUAUUUAGCCGCUUACAGCCUGAAGGAAAAUAGGAGCUGCCAGCCAGCGAACUCACCUUGGACGCAGCACCCAGAGGAGAAUCCUACAGAAAGGCAUGACUGCUGAACGCCUGGUGUGUGUGUUUGUGUGUGUGUGUGUCAAUAAAUGCAUCUGAAUAUGUUCCUGUGUAGACAGUAUAUGUGUUGUUUCCAAAUGUUGCUGCUGUAAGCCCCUGUGCGUGUGCCUUUGACUGCUAACACAUUUCAGAGCUA